GAUGUUGUGAUUUUUCCCUACAUGUGGCCUCCUCUUCCACGGCUCCUGGGAACUCCACACUCUGGGCCUGUCUGCUCCCCUGACCUGUCUUGCUUCCUGGACCCCAUCUCCUUCUGGAUGGACAUCAUCAGAGAUCCUAGGCUUGCUGAGCCUCCAAGUACUGCAUGGUAAAUCUGGUGACUGCUAUUUCGUGUUCACUCCUGUGCACAGAAAUAUACAGAAGAAACAAGCGGCUGCAAGGAGGAAGGUAAGUGCUUGGGGUCGUACCAUUCCUCAUCUAUAAGACAGUGUGUCCCUUCUGUCUGGGCUAUGAUAAAGCCUUAGAAGAGAAGAUUUCAGGUAAUCAAGGCCCUGCAGGGGCUUUGGUACCUGAGAGGCUGCCUUCCUGAAGGGCAUCCAAAGUCUGCAAGCCACUGCCCCUUUCAUACUGCUCAUGGGCAUCGAGGAGACCCAACAUACUGAGAUGUGAGUGGGAGACAUUUCUAUCCCAGCUGCUGCUUCUGUGGACUGUGAGUCCUCUCUUCCCGACAUGGAAAUUACCAAGCUAAGUCCUGGGUGAUAGGACUGAGGGCCGGAAAACCAGAA
rnacentral:sRNA from 1 species